rnacentral:lncRNA from 1 species
UAAUCUAUGACUUCUAUCCCUGUAUCCAAAGUGCUCAGCAUAGCCCCUGGCACACAGUGGGUGAAUAAUAAAUGCUUGUCACUUCUUUAGAUCCCAUGACCUAAGUUGUUAUUUUGGCACAAAUGAUCCUGAAACAGGACAUGAAUUCUGUAGUUUCAAUCACACUAAUGACUGAUUACUCAAACCAAUUAGUUCUAAGGGGCAAUGACCAGAAUUAUUUUUACUAAUGUGUCUAAAUAAUUUAUCAGACAGGCCGCCAAACAGUUAUUUCUGCCCCAAAAACAGCUGCAGAACUUCACCAACUCCUGUACAAACUUCAUUCAUCAUAUUUUUUGCUCAAAUGUAGGAAAAAUGCUAUCUGGGGCAUCUUUGUGUUUAUGCCUAAGAUUAGUUAAAAUAAUCCCAAGUGAGAGGUAUUUACAUUUCCUGCAUCUGGUUAACACUCUGGCACUACGUGCUCAGUGUGAAUUCAAGUAUCACAUUUUUAUCUUCUCAUAACAUACAGACUCAGAGCAGGCUGUUGUUCCAAAAGCCUCAUCCUGACUGGGAUACUAGAUAAGAGCCUUAUCUACUAACCCCUUUCUUCCACACGUCUCUACUUACAGGUAUGUAAUGAUCUUGCAAGUUCUGAAAUUCAAAAUCUGUGUGGAGAUAGGGAAUCAGGAUGAGGAACUACUAAAACUAGCUUUAAACUCACCAUGCACAGACAAACAGAAAUAUUACUAGAAACUGAAGAGGCAAUGAGCCCUCUGGCUUUGCAGGAAUACUGGGCAUUGAGAACAUUAUGCAGAAUUUUUCAAGUACUAAAGUCUUAAGCAAAUUAAGAUGACAGCAUACGCAUGGCGUGCUUUUAUCAACAUGCUUGAUACUGGCUGAAUUCUUCUGGUCCCUAACCGUAAACUCAAGGUGGAAAGGCUAAUCUGUUUAUUCAAAUUCCUUAUAGGAAUGCAGCGAAGAAACUGGAAAAUUAAAUAAGCUCUUAAAAAUGUUUCUGAGUGCAUUUAGAGUUGGAGGCAUAUAAGGUAUUUUUAAUCAACAAUCCAUGACUCAAAGGUAAUAGAAUGAUGGGCAUCAGAAAUGUCAAGGUAAAGGAUUUUAAUGUUCUCUGCAAAUUUGUUCAGUGUUGAAC